rnacentral:misc_RNA from 1 species
GAUGAAGAACGCAGCGAAAUGCGAUACGUAAUGUGAAUUGCAGAAUUCAGUGAAUCAUCGAAUCUUUGAACGCACAUUGCACUCUCUGGUAUUCCGGAGAGUAUGCUUGUUUGAGUAUCAGUAAACACCUCAAAUCUCUUGUUUCUUGUGAAUAAGAGAAUUGGACUUGAGCAAUCCCAACUCUUGCAAAAGAGGCGGGUUGCUUGAAAUGCAGGUGCAGCUGGACAUUCUUCUGAGCUAAAAGCAUAUUUAUUUAGUCCCGUAAAACAGAUUAUUACUUUUGCUGCAGCUAACAUAAAGGUUGAAUGGCCAAUAUGGCUGACUGAUGCAGGAUUAACAGAGAAUUUAUUCUUUGUAAACUCGAUCUCAAAUCAAGUAAGACUACCCGCUGAACUUAAGCAUAUCAAUAAGCGGAGGA